rnacentral:rRNA from 1 species
UACGAAGGGGGCUAGCGUUGCUCGGAAUCACUGGGCGUAAAGCGCACGUAGGCGGAUCUUUAAGUCAGGGGUGAAAUCUUUCCGCUUAACGGGAAGCGUGCCUCCGAUACUGAUCGCCUCGAGGGAGGUAGGGGCAUGUGGAACUUCCGGUGGAGCGGUGAAAUGCGUAGAUAUCGGAAGGAACGCCGGUGGCGAAAGCGACGUGCUGGACCUCUUCUGACGCUGAGGCGCGAAAGCUAGGGGAGCAAACGGG